UACAGAGGUGGCAAGCGUUGUUCGGAAUUACUGGGCGCAAAGGGCUCGUAGGCGGCCAACUAAGUCAGACGUGAAAUCCCUCGGCUUAACCGGGGAACUGCGUCUGAUACUGGAUGGCUAGAGGUUGGGAGAGGGAUGCGGAAUUCCAGGUGUAGCGGUGAAAUGCGUAGAUAUCUGGAGGAACACCGGUGGCGAAGGCGGCAUCCUGGACCAACACUGACGCUGAGUGAGCGAAAGCAUGGGUAGCAAACAGG
rnacentral:rRNA from 1 species